GGCUAUUCCAGAAAGAGCUGUCUUUAACGGAGAGGACAUUUUUUCCAAAUGUGGUCCGUUUACUUGGAAUUUGACUAUUAACACAUGUAAAAGGAUGACUCGGAAACAGCUGGUCUCUUACUCCUUCUCUCCACCAUGGACGCCACAGAGCCCCUCCCCUCCAGAACAGACUGGACCAUUGCGACGGGGAGGACAGGAGGUUCAGAGGAGCAGACUUCACAGGAGGAGCUCAAUGCUAUGGCCUCUCCUGCGCCUACACUGCCUCCUUUUCCUGCUCCUCUCACUCCUGGACUCACAGGCUCCUCUUUGAUAAGCAUCAUGCACUUCUCCCUGUUGGAUGAAGAUGGAGAAAUGUUGUUAAAGAAGGGCUCAUGCAUGGACUCCAUUGGGUGAUUAUGGCUGAACUUGGAGGCAGGAGGGCUGGGAGAGCCAUCGUCCAACAUCAAGGGCCUGAAGGGAACAAUAGUUUUCUCUCAAUUACAACUUUGUUUUUAAAGGAUAUAAGUCAUUAUCAUGAAAGUAAUAAUGCAUUUAAGCAGUUUUGAGUGGGCAUUGGUUUAGAUUGAUAAUUUUUGGUUAACAUGUUGGAUUUAGUUAAGUGUGUAUCUCUACUUCCUCUAAAUAAAACAAUAAACAAGUUACCAUGAAUUUGUAUAAGUUGGUAUUUAACAGCAUUGCUUAAUUAGGAAAUAUUAGCUCGCUAGCCCGCCCAACAAAGAAUGUACAUGGUAAACAUUGAAUCUGCUAAACAUCAAUAUGUUGACACUGAUAUUCUGAAUAGACAAGUGUCCUAACAGAAGUUUGUUAUGCUACCUUUUUGCUUUUUAAAUAUUCCAUGUGGAGAUGUGACAGUAAAUGACAGGGGUUGGAGUGAUGGAUGAGUGAGUUAUUAGUGUGGGUAGAUGUUAAAAGGUAAGGCCGAAAAUAACUAUCAUUAAAACAUAGGGUAAAAUUGCACCUUUGCCAGGUCGCACAAUGACUCUGAAAUAUAC